rnacentral:snoRNA from 1 species
UGCAGCCUUGUCAAAUUCAGUCCCCGUCUUCUCCGUGGCGGGGACUGGCCUCUCUGGCUGCCACAGCAACUCUGUAACUCAUGGGCCCCACGGCUCUCCCCUGUGGGCCCUGGGGAUGAAAGCAUGCUACAGACACCA